rnacentral:rRNA from 1 species
CCUACGGGAGGCUGCAGUGAGGAAUAUUGGUCAAUGGCCGAGAGUCUGAACCAGCCAAGUAGCGUGAAGGAUGACUGCCCUAUGGGUUGUAAACUUCUUUUAUAUGGGAAUAAAACGUUCCACGUGUGGGAUUUUGUAUGUACCAUAUGAAUAAGGAUCGGCUAACUCCGUGCCAGCAGCCGCGGUAAUACGGAGGAUCCGAGCGUUAUCCGGAUUUAUUGGGUUUAAAGGGAGCGUAGGUGGGUUGUUAAGUGAGUUGUGAAAUUUUGUGGCUCAACCGUAAAAUUGCAGGUGAAACUGGCAGUCUUGAGUACACGAGAGGUAGGCGGAAUUCGUGGUGUAGCGGUGAAAUGCUUAGAUAUCACGAAGAACCCCGAUUGCGAAGGCAGUUCACUGGACUGCAACUGACGCUGAGGCUCGAAAGUGUGGGUAUCAAACAGGAUUAGAUACCCGAGUAGUC